GCUAUGCGUAAUUCGGCAGGAUGAAAACCUGCUGCAGGUUCGACAAAAUUGUCGGGAACAAUUUUGCAUCGCCGCUUGCGGUGACCCGAAGGGCGAGUCUCAGGAUGAGACGAGUGUAUCCUGCACGACCCACCA
rnacentral:sRNA from 1 species